ACCUGGUACAUACUGCAAUAUUACAUUUACAUUACAUUACAUGUAUAUGUAAUGUAAUGAUGUUUGUAAUGAUGUGCCAUCAUUACAAUAUGAUGGCACAUCCCGCUGUGACACCAGUGGUGCAAGUGUCUUUUUUAAUCAAGAAAAUUUCUAGAGCUAACCAAUUCAUAUAGUUGAAACAUAUGGGAUCUGGACACAUUUGGACAGGAUGCUAAUCUUAGCCCACUUCUCAUUGCUGCUUAUUUGUGGAAGCCAAGGUAAAAUAAAUUCCUCAACUUUUUUACUUGAUGUGUUUUCAGUUUCUGGCAAAAAGAUGAUAAUCAAAUGUCCUCAAGCUAUAUAUUUAUAUCCACGGCCUACUAACUAAAGAAUUGUUGCCUUAAUUUAUGCCCUUUUCAUUAGAUUCAGUAACCUGUACCGACCUGCAGAAACAGCAUGAAGUCAUCCAUGCAGCAGUUGGAGAACCUUUAGUGUUGAACUGCACCUACAACUGCUCCUCUGGAUUUGUCCGUGGACACUGGGUCAAACUCAAACUCCCAGACUGUCCUCAUUGUCCUAGGCCAAGGGAAACAAAAAAUGUCACAAAGAAUGGUGACCUCUGCACACUACCAUUGUAUUGCCCACAUCUGUCCAGGGAAGAUUUUCAGAACAACUAUACCUGCUUUUCUGAAGAUCAUAAAAGCGAACAGUUCCCAAGCAAGAUAGAGUGUCUGGUAUCACUGCAGGCACAAGCUCGACCUAGUGCCCCGGACACAACGGACACUACUGAUGAAUCGAUGACAGCGUUGGGUAACCAUGAGGACUCAAUAAUAGAUCACGGUGAGACAAAAUGCUGCUAUUGCACUCUUUAAAAAGAAAAGGUAGAACAUGUUUAAAUGUAUUGCAAACAACAAAAGUAACCCCCUGUUUGAGGCAAUGACUGAUGAGUUGCAAAUUGAGUUUUAAUGAUAAUAUUGUCUUUGUGCUGUCUUCAAUACAGAGAAAUUCACAUGUGUCAAGGUGUUGGCAACAGUGCCCGUUAUUGUGGCUGCGGUGUUGGCAGCCGUGGCUGUCUCCUUUAUGUAUGAGCCGCAAUCAAUAUUGCAAAGGUGCUUAUAGAUGUUGAAAAAUCAAUUGUGAAGGUCCAAUUUCUGAAACAAAAAUGUUAUAAAAUACUUU